rnacentral:rRNA from 1 species
AUUGAACGCUGGCGGCAGGCUUAACACAUGCAAGUCGAGCGGAGACUUCGGUCUUAGCGGCGAACGGGUGAGUAAUACCUAGGAAUCUGCCUAUUAGUGGGGGAUAACGAAUCGAAAGGUUCGCUAAUACCGCAUACGUCCUACGGGAGAAAGGGGGGAUCUUCGGACCUCUCGCUAAUAGAUGAGCCUAGGCCGGAUUAGCUAGUUGGUAGGGUAAAGGCCUACCAAGGCGACGAUCUGUAGCUGGUCUGAGAGGAUGGCCAGCCACACUGGAACUGAGACACGGUCCAGACUCCUACGGGAGGCAGCAGUGGGGAAUAUUGGACAAUGGGGGCAACCCUGAUCCAGCCAUGCCGCGUGUGUGAAGAAGGCCUACGGGUUGUAAAGCACUUUAAGCGAGGAGGAAGGUUUUUAGUUUAAUACACUAAAGAAUUGACGUUACUCGCAGAAUAAGCACCGGCUAACUCUGUGCCAGCAGCCGCGGUAAAGUCUG